rnacentral:rRNA from 1 species
UACGUAGGGGGCAAGCGUUAUCCGGAUUUACUGGGUGUAAAGGGAGCGUAGACGGUGAUGCAAGUCAGAAGUGAAAGCCCGGGGCUCAACUCCGGGACUGCUUUUGAAACUGUGUAACUGGAGUGCAGGAGAGGUAAGCGGAAUUCCUGGUGUAGCGGUGAAAUGCGUAGAUAUCAGGAGGAACACCAGUGGCGAAGGCGGCUUACUGGACGGCAACUGACGCUGAGGCUCGAAAGCGUGGGGAGCAAACAGG